rnacentral:rRNA from 1 species
GAUGAACGCUGGCGGCGUGCCUAAUACAUGCAAGUCGAGCGAACAGACGAGGAGCUUGCUCCUUUGACGUUAGCGGCGGACGGGUGAGUAACACGUAGGUAACCUACCUAUAAGACUGGGAUAACUUCGGGAAACCGGAGCUAAUACCGGAUAAUAUUUCGAACCGCAUGGUUCGAUAGUGAAAGAUGGCUUUACUAUCACUUAUAGAUGGACCUGCGCCGUAUUAGCUAGUUGGUAAGGUAACGGCUUACCAAGGCAACGAUACGUAGCCGACCUGAGAGGGUGAUCGGCCACACUGGAACUGAGACACGGUCCAGACUCCUACGGGAGGCAGCAGUAGGGAAUCUUCCGCAAAGGGCGAAAGCCUGACGGAGCAACGCCGCGUGAGUGAUGAAGGUCUUCGGAUCGUAAAACUCUGUUAUUAGGGAAGAACAAACGUGUAAGUAACUGUGCACGUCUUGACGGUACCUAAUCAGAAAGCCACGGCUAACUACGUG